AUUGAACGCUGGCGGCAGGCCUAACACAUGCAAGUCGAGCGGAUGAAGGGAGCUUGCUCCUGGAUUCAGCGGCGGACGGGUGAGUGAUGCCUAGGAAUCUGCCUGGUAGUGGGGGAUAACGUCCGGAAACGGGCGCUAAUACCGCAUACGUCCUGAGGGAGAAAGUGGGGGAUCUUCGGACCUCACGCUAUCAGAUGAGCCUAGGUCGGAUUAGCUAAUUGGUGGGGUAAAGGCCUACCAAGGCGACGAUCCGUAACUGGUCUGAGAGGAUGAUCAGUCACACUGGAACUGAGACACGGUCCAGACUCCUACGGGAGGCAGCAGUGGGGAAUAUUGGACAAUGGGCGAAAGCCUGAUCCAGCCAUGCCGCGUGUGUGAAGAAGGUCUUCGGAUUGUAAAGCACUUUAAGUUGGGAGGAAGGGCAGUAAGUUAAUACCUUGCUGUUUUGACGUUACCAACAGAAUAAGCACCGGCUAACUUCGUG
rnacentral:rRNA from 1 species